CCUGGCGGCGUGCUUAACACAUGCAAGUCGAACGAACCUUCGGGUUAGUGGCGGACGGGUGAGUAACGCGUGGGAAUCUGCCCUCAGGAGGGGGAUAACGGUUGGAAACGACCGCUAAUACCCCAUAUGCCGAGAGGUGAAAUGAAUUUCGCCUGAGGAUGAGCCCGCGUCUGAUUAGCUUGUUGGUGAGGUAAUGGCUCACCAAGGCAUCGAUCAGUAGCUGGUCUGAGAGGAUGAUCAGCCACACUGGGACUGAGACACGGCCCAGACUCCU
rnacentral:rRNA from 1 species